rnacentral:rRNA from 1 species
AACGAACGCUGGCGGCAUGCCUAACACAUGCAAGUCGAACGAGACCUUCGGGUCUAGUGGCGCACGGGUGCGUAACGCGUGGGAACCUGCCCUUAGGUUCGGAAUAACUCCCCGAAAGGGGUGCUAAUACCGGAUAAUGUCUUCGGACCAAAGAUUUAUCGCCUUUGGAUGGGCCCGCGUUGGAUUAGCUAGUUGGUAGGGUAAAAGCCUACCAAGGCGACGAUCCAUAGCUGGUCUGAGAGGAUGAUCAGCCACACUGGGACUGAGACACGGCCCAGACUCCUACGGGAGGCAGCAAUGGGGAAUAUUGGACAAUGGGCGGAAGCCUGAUCCAGCAAUGCCGCGUGAGUGAUGAAGGCCUUAGGGUUGUAAAGCUCUUUUACCCGGGAUGAUAAUGACAGUACCGGGAGAAUAAGCUCCGGCUAACUCCGUG